rnacentral:rRNA from 1 species
GAUGAACGCUGGCGGCGUGCCUAAUACAUGCAAGUCGAGCGAACAGACGAGGAGCUUGCUCCUCUGACGUUAGCGGCGGACGGGUGAGUAACACGUGGAUAACCUACCUAUAAGACUGGGAUAACUUCGGGAAACCGGAGCUAAUACCGGAUAAUAUAUUGAACCGCAUGGUUCAAUAGUGAAAGACGGUCUUGCUGUCACUUAUAGAUGGAUCCGCGCUGCAUUAGCUAGUUGGUAAGGUAACGGCUUACCAAGGCAACGAUGCGUAGCCGACCUGAGAGGGUGAUCGGCCACACUGGAACUGAGACACGGUCCAGACUCCUACGGGAGGCAGCAGUAGGGAAUCUUACGCAAUGGGCGAAAGCUUGACGGAGCAACGCCGCGUGAGUGAUGAAGGUCUUCGGAUCGUAAAACUCUGUUAUUAGGGAAGAACAAAUGUGUAAGUAACUGUGCACGUCUUGACGGUACCUAAUCAGAAAGCCACGGCUAACUACGUG